AUUGAACGCUGGCGGCAGGCCUAACACAUGCAAGUCGAACGAGUGGCGGACGGGUGAGUAGUGUCUGGGCAACCUCCCGAUGGUGGGGGAUCAACACGGGAACCGGUAGCUAAUACCGCAAACUAUGAGAUGUGCCCAGAUGGGAUUAGAUUGUUGGUGGGGUAACGGCUCACCGAGGCGACGAUCCCUAGCUGGUCUGAGAGUAUGACCAGCCACACUGGAACUGAGACACGGUCCAGACUCCUACGGGAGGCCGCAGUGGGGAAUAUUGCACAAUGGGCGCAAGCCUGAUGCAGCCAUGCCGCGUGUAUGAAGAAGGCCUUCGGGUUGUAAAGUACUUUCAGCGGGGAGGCGUUACCCGCAGAAGAAGCACCGGCUAACUCCGUGCCAGCAGCCGCGGUAAUAC
rnacentral:rRNA from 1 species